UAAGAUAACGGUUGCCCCGCAGCUAAUAUUCACUGACGACUGUGUGAUAUUCAUCACGGACGACUUGCCGGAGAAUGAGACUAAGUAUAUAUAUACAAUCUGGCUAUUGAUGAUUCCUCAUACCUACGCGUGGAACCGCCAUUUUCGACCCAAAGCUCAUGGUGUGCUCCAUGAGAAUAUUGGUGUUCUAACAUCGGCACCACCAUCACAAGCCGCUGGUGAAUCCGCACCAAUGCUUUCUUGGCGAAUUGACCGAAUUCUGUCGGAGGCCUUUCCCAAUCUGCGCCACGCACCGCCACCACCAAAGCACCAACGACCCUGCUGGAUAUGCAUCUAACACGCCCGCUGGUAAUGGAGUGCUGGUCCUGGAAGUGUAUUUUCAGCAAUGAUCACAAUGGUCUUUUAGCUGUAGCUGGCAAAGAACGAUAGAAAACAAUGAAAAGGAGAAAAAGGGGCCGAGAAGGGUUGGAAAAGCAGCGACUCGCCGCCUGUUAAUGUAGUGGCAGAAAUCAGAAUCACGGAACCGAAAAAUUUUCGGAAAAUUAAUAUUGAUACGACAUGAUACAGAUAUGGAAAAUGCGUUAAUGAAAGAGGCAAUCGCUGUCGACGAGCUACUAGGAUUAGCAAUGAGAUAUUUGGUGACAAGCAGGGCAUCCAAAUGCUUGAAGUUUAGUGCUAUAAUAGCUGCAAAACAGUUAACAAAGUUUUAUUGCGGCCUGUGAACUAAUUGCAUCUGCCCUGGAAAGGUGUGUAUAUAUCACAGCAGUAGAAAACGCUUCUGUUUGCUGGUUGGAAAAGUACUUCAUAAGGACUAGUAAGAAGUCUGCUAAAUGCAUCCCAGUCUCACCAUCGGCUGGAGUGGCCGACCGGUUCUAGGCGUUUCAGUCUGGAACUGCGCGACCGCUACGGUCGCAGGUUAGAAUCCUGCCUCGGGCAUGGAAGUGUGUGAUAUCCUUAGGUUAGUUACGUUUCAGUAGUUGUAGGGCACUGAUGACCAUACCUGUUAAGUCCCACAGUGCUCAGAGCCAUUUGAACCAGUCUCAUCGAAUUGACCAUUUUGUCUUAUAGUGUCAUAAAUGUAUUAACAGAUAUGGCGAUUGCUUUGGAAAUAAACAGUUUACUUACUUUUU